UACGUAGGGUGCAAGCGUUGUCCGGAAUUACUGGGCGUAAAGGGCGCGUAGGCGGCCUGUUAAGUCGGACGUGAAAUCCCUCGGCUCAACCGGGGAACUGCGUCCGAAACUGGCGGGCUUGAAUUCGGGAGAGGGAUGCGGAAUUCCAGGUGUAGCGGUGAAAUGCGUAGAUAUCUGGAGGAACACCGGUGGCGAAGGCGGCAUCCUGGACCAAUUCUGACGCUGAGGAGCGAAAGCCAGGGGAGCAAACGGG
rnacentral:rRNA from 1 species